rnacentral:rRNA from 1 species
UACAGAGGGGGCAAGCGUUGUUCGGAAUUACUGGGCGUAAAGGGCGCGUAGGCGGCCCGCUAAGUCGAACGUGAAAUCCCCGAGCUCAACUCGGGAACUGCGUCCGAUACUGGAUGGCUUGAAUUCGGGAGAGGGAUGCAGAAUUCCAGGUGUAGCGGUGAAAUGCGUAGAUAUCUGGAGGAAUACCGGUGGCGAAGGCGGCAUCCUGGACCGACAUUGACGCUGAACGGCGAAAGCUAGGGGAGCAAACGGG